CCAUUUUCCUGCCUCAGCCUCCCGAGUAGCUGGGACUAUAGGCACCCGCCACCACGCCCGGCUAAUUUUUUGUAUUCACAGUACAGACGGGGUUUCACCGUGUUAGCCAGGAUGGUUUCGAUCUCCUGACCUCGUGAUCCGCCCGCCUCUGCCUCCCAAAGUGCUGGGAUUACAGGCGUGAGCCACCGCGCCCGGUGGAAAGGACACUUUUUUACAGUAUGAGCACUGAAACAAAAAGGCAAAGCAAGGUCUGUUCACCUUCAGCUGAGAACGUGAGGAUUGGUUCAGGAGUACAUGCGCAGGUUUGUCAUAUAAGCAAAUUAUGUGGCACAGAAGUUUGGUGUAUGGAUUAUUUCAUCACCCAGGCCGUUUCUCAGCGUUGGAUGUGCAAGCAGUUUUGAGAGAUGAAGUCAUGACUUCAAGACAAAAAAACAGGUUUGCUUAUUUUGCUACAAACCAAUAAGUUCUUCAGCCAUGCUGCAAAUCCACUGUGUAUCCAGUUCCCAUCUGCGGCCCGCACAUCAUCCCCAUGGGACUUGAGAGCAAGAGGAUCCCACGCAAAUCAUGUUGCUUGCUAUGCUCCUGCUGCCUGGAAUGCAUAUGUGAUGGCUGGAAUGCUAGCUCUAAUUUUGGAUCAUGAGGAAAAGUGCCACACCAUUGGAGAUGAGGGAUGAGCUGGAAGGGGUCCUGUGGCAGGGGAUCAUGUCCUGGGACAUACCAAGAGAGCAGCUUCUAGAGGACUGAUUAUCAGAGAGGAACUGGAAUGUGAAAAGACGUCUAACUAACCAUUAUUAAUGAUUCACUUGUAAUUUUCACUAAUGGAUGACCCACAUGAUUUCCUCUUCAAAGAAUUUGUCCAAAGCCACCCAUUUAAAAAAGAAAAGAAUGGAGGAUGGAAUCUCAUAAGUGAUCUUACCAUUUACAAAGCACAGUGUGAUUAAUCAAUUCUCCUUUAUAUUUUAGUGCCUACCGUGUUUCUUAAUUUGAUGGAGAAGCCUUCUUAUAAACACUCUUAGAAAAGCUAUAUGUAAUUAACUUUCUUCUUUGAGCAAAGGGACUUGUUUCUCUGAGAUGUCUAUAAAAGAUAAAGAGUUGAUGUGGGCCACACUCCUGCCUCUGCUUUCUCUUAGAGGUCUAAGGGUAAUUAGUGGACAAAAGCAGUCAAUUAAGCAGGUAUCUUCCCAGACACCAUGUCCACUCUUGAUGACUGUUGAAAACCUUAGAUAACCCCAUCAGGAACUGAGGUAAGGCCAUGAAUUGCCUUUAGUUUGAGCAUGGGUGAAUUUAAUCUCCUUAACCUAGUUAGGGAUUGGAAUCUGGCUCACCUUCAGGUUUUAUGAAUAAAGUUUUAUUGGAACACAGUCACUCCUAUUCGUUUUACAUCUAACUGUGGCUGCUUUUGUGCUACCAUAGCAGAGUUAAGUCACUCUAACAGAAAAUAGAUGGCUCACAAAGCCAAACAUAUUUUACUCCAUAGCCCUUUAAAAUCUGCUAACCUUUGAUAUGGUGACAGCAUGAAAUUUCUUUAAGCACUUGCCCAGUAUUAUAGAUUUUUUAUGAGCGAAUGUGAAUAUUAAUGUAAUGUAACUCAGGAAAGAAAUAUGUCUUGAACCCACAUUUAUAUAAAAUCAAUUUUGAUAGCAAGCUUAUUACUUCACAAAGAAAAAAAGUCUAUCCAUGUUUUUUCUGCUCAAAAAAAAUGUUGGCAGAGAAUGCUAUUAGAGUCAUAUAGGUAAAACAAACUUACAGGUAAAACAAGCUAAAUUUAACUUUUGCUCUAUGAAGUUUGCCAUGUUUCAAGGAAUAUAGUUAGACCCAGAAUGCCUUGAUAUUUUCAUAGUAAUGGGCCAUGCUCUAAUUUGGUGCUAUUUCCCUAUACUUAAUUGAGGAGCUAACAGUCAAUUGUGAGACUAAACCUUCAAUUAAUAAAAGCAGCAUGGGUCGAUCCUCAAAAGGAAAGCCCAUUUUUCUUGUCAGUGUGAGUCAGCCUCCUCUGUUUUUUUAUCUUGAUACAAAGGUAGAAAUAACCCCAAGUAAGCCAGGAACACUAUUCAGAUCUCAAAACGUUUGCUUAUUGUGAGUGCUCUCUUUUACAAGAUCAAAAAAAUUUCAUGAAUCAUUCUAAGCUGUUUACUGGGUUGGGGUCCACUGUUGUAGAAGUGUCUGUCUUGGAUGAGGUCUCAUGAUGAGAAACUAUUUAACCCUAAGAUGUUUCUUACUAAGUGACUCUUAGCUACUUAUAUAAUCAGAGACAGCCAUAAGAAUACAGAAGGAAUGCACGAAUAUACCCACCACUGGGAAGUUGUCAUCAGCUUUGCUCCAAAGGUCUUUUUCAUCAUUUUUCUAACUCUUCUGGAAAGUCGGGAGAUUCUCCCUCACUGCUGCAGACCAGAAAAACAUUGUACAUAUUAAGGCUCUCAGAUGAGAAAGGGUCUAAAGAAACUAUUAUGACAUAAUGAAUGUGCUGUUCUCUGUGCUCUGAAAGUGUAUGGGGAGGCUAAACAAUUAUCUUUGAGGUUUGUUAGUACCUAUGAAUUAUUCAUCAAUCUUAGAGUUUCUAAAAUUAUUCUCACAGAAUUAUCAUCUAGUGGGCAAAGAGGUCAUCUUGUCUGAUCACACCCAAACAGAAUUAUCCUUAAUACUCAUCACUUAAACAAAAACAAUUGGAAUAAAAAGACAGAACACUACACUGUUUAUGUAUUGUGUCCAAUAUUUACACACCAUAGAGAGAUAUAGAUUUUACAGAAUCUAAAUAUACAAAAUACCUAAUGGUUUAAUUUGAUUAAAUAACAGUAGUGAAUAUGCACACGAAGUGAGUUCCAUGUGUUACCAAAUUGCAAUUGACUAUGCUUUACAUGUUUUAAAAAUCAUCACUUUUGAUGAAACUUGCUCUUAGAUUCAGACUAGAUGUCUGUAUAGUCAUCAUUUUUAACACUGGCAGCAUAGUAAAGUCAACUGGGGAACUCUUAAAAGAAAUGUAUGUCUAGGGCCACACCACCGAAGACACCGAUUUCCUGGCAAUUGGUUUGGGAGAAGGCCCAGACAUCUGUAUUUUUAAAGUUCUGCGGGGUAGUCUAAUGUCAGCCAAGGUUGAAAAUCACUGCUUCACGUAGUAUAGCUAGAUAAGUGAGAUAGAGAGGUCUCCAUGUGCAGCUUCUAUUUUGAAAGUCAGUCAUGAUUCCUCAUUUUAGCAAGUUCUCUUUUUCUUUACCUCCUCUUUCCAUUCAGAAUUGAGUUCAAAUAUUUCUUUACAGCCAUUUGUUUUCUAAGGCGGGUAUAGUUGUCAGUGAAGACUGCAUCUGAGUGACGUUUGACUGGUACAGGGUCUUCUGAGAUGUUACUGCUAAGGAACAUGAGGAAAAGGAAAUCAAAGAGUUUUCACAAGAAAUGAUAAAUACACACAUGUUCCAGGUUUCUUGGAGCCACAUAAAAAGCAAUUCCCACCCAACUAAUUUUCUAUCAUAAAAAGACUAAAAGAAAAAUACAACUAAACCUAAGGAUGAAGGAAAGCAAGGAAUCAUCUGCCAUAUUUUGGCAUGGCCUGGGACUGUUUUAUGACACAUUCUGUACAGCUGAGCAAAUAAUUCAUCCAAAAAUAAAAAUUUGGGAAUAGCUGAAGUUGUGCUCUGCCAUUGGGAGAAAUUUUUUUUUUUUUUAAAAAAAACAUAAUUACUUCUUUAGAAGCUAUGCUACCCUGA
rnacentral:lncRNA from 10 species